UACGAAGGGGCUAGCGUUGCUCGGAAUCACUGGGCGUAAAGCGCACGUAGGCGGCUUUUAAGUCAGGGGUGAAAUCCUGGAGCUCAACUCCAGAACUGCCUUUGAUACUGAGAAGCUUGAGUCCGGGAGAGGUGAGUGGAACUGCGAGUGUAGAGGUGAAAUUCGUAGAUAUUCGCAAGAACACCAGUGGCGAAGGCGGCUCACUGGCCCGGUACUGACGCUGAGGUGCGAAAGCGUGGGGAGCAA
rnacentral:rRNA from 1 species